UCUCAUCGCAUUAGUUAGUUGUGUACAGUGCCACAAACUUAACUGACCCGGUGACGGUGUCACUGAUGUCGAUUUUAGUGCCGCUAAAUAGUAUUUCCCCGGAUGCAAGGGUAAAAA